rnacentral:rRNA from 1 species
CAGCCGCCACGGUAAUACCGGCGGCCCGAGUGGCGGCCACUAUUAUUGGGCUUAAAGCGUCCGUAGCCGGGUUGGGAAGUCCUCCGGGAAAUCUGGCCGCUUAACGGUCAGAAUGCCGGAGGAUACUCCCAGCCUAGGGAGCGGGAGAGGCCGAGGGUAUUCCCGGAGUAGGGGUGAAAUCCUAUAAUCCCGGGAGGACCACCUGUGGCGAAGGCGCUCGGCUGGAACGGGUCCGACGGUGAGGGACGAAGGCCAGGGGAGCAAACCGGAUUAGAUACCCGGGUAGUCCUGGCUGUAAACGAUGCGGACUUUGUGUCGGACAAGCUAUGAGCUUGUCCGGUGCCGGAGGGAAACCGUUAAGUCCGCCGCCUGGGGAGUACGGCCGCAAGGCUGAAACUUAAAGGAAUUGGCGGG